rnacentral:sRNA from 1 species
CAUUGUACUUAUGUACUUGUUGAUAAGAAGUGAGCAGGCUGAGGAGGGGGCAAGAAGCUUCUUGCUUUUAUGGCUCGUGUGAUUUGUUUUUAAUUGAAAGUUUCUUUUAUGGCAACUGGUACUGUUAAGUGGUUCAAUGAUUCCAAAGGUUUUGGCUUCAUCACUCCUGAUGACGGCGGCGAGGAUCUGUUCGCGCACUUCUCCGCAAUCAAUAUGACCGGUUUUAAGACCCUCAAAGAAGGUCAGAAAGUCCAAUUCGAAGUCACGCAAGGCCCGAAAGGCAAGCAAGCUUCCAACAUCCAGGGCGUGUAAUACCUCUCCCCCGGAAGCAAGAGACCCCGCGACAGCGGGGUUUUUUUUU